rnacentral:rRNA from 1 species
UUUUCGGAGAGUUUGAUCCUGGCUCAGGACGAACGCUGGCGGCGUGCCUAAUACAUGCAAGUCGAGCGAACAGAAGGGAGCUUGCUCCCGGAUGUUAGCGGCGGACGGGUGAGUAACACGUGGGUAACCUGCCUGUAAGACUGGGAUAACUCCGGGAAACCGGAGCUAAUACCGGAUAGUUCCUUGAACCGCAUGGUUCAAGGAUGAAAGACGGUUUCGGCUGUCACUUACAGAUGGACCCGCGGCGCAUUAGCUAGUUGGUGGGGUAAUGGCUCACCAAGGCGACGAUGCGUAGCCGACCUGAGAGGGUGAUCGGCCACACUGGGACUGAGACACGGCCCAGACUCCUACGGGAGGC